rnacentral:rRNA from 1 species
AGCAGCCGCGGUAAUUCCAGCUCCAAUAGCGUAUAUUAAAGUUGUUGCAGUUAAAAAGCUCGUAGUUGAAUUUCGGGAUCAAUUUAUUGGUCGUGCUAUUGUACGUACUGGUAUUAUCGAUUCCUACCUUCUGACGAACCAUGAUGUCAUUAAUUUGGUGUCUUGGGGAAUCAGGACUGUUACUUUGAAAAAUUAGAGUGUUUAAAGCAGGCUCACGCUUGAAUACAUUAGCAUGGAAUAACGAAAUAGGACGUUUGAUUCUAUUUUGUUGGUUUCUAGGAUCGACGUAAUGAUUAAUAGGGAUAGUCGGGGGCAUUAGUAUUCAAUUGUCAGAGGUGAAAUUCUUGGAUUUAUUGAAGACUAACUACUGCGAAAGCAUUUGCCAAGGAUGUUUUCAUUAAUCAAGAACGAAAGUUAGGGGAUCGAAGACGAUCAGAUACCGUCGUAGUCUUAACUAUAAACUAUGCUGACUAGGGAUCGGAUGAUGUUAAUUUUUAAUGUACUCAUUCGGCGU